rnacentral:rRNA from 1 species
UACGAAGGGUGCAAGCGUUACUCGGAAUUACUGGGCGUAAAGCGUGCGUAGGUGGUGAGUUAAGUCUGAUGUGAAAUCCCCGGGCUCAACCUGGGAAUGGCAUUGGAUACUGGCUCGCUCGAGUGCGGUAGAGGGUGGUGGAAUUCCCGGUGUAGCAGUGAAAUGCGUAGAGAUCGGGAGGAACAUCUGUGGCGAAGGCGGCCAUCUGGACGUCAACUGACGCUGAGACGCGAAAGCAUGGGGAGCAAACAGG